AGGAAGAAACAGUAGUCAUAAGGAAUCGGAGCUCUCCCGCAUCCCAACAAUAUGCUCUCCCUCAGGAGGCAAGGUGUCCCCACCCGCCUGAAUCCAGUGAGAUAUUGUUGGCAAGAGUUAUGGCUGCAAGGAGUCUCUCUCCACAUCAGCCUGAGGGCUUGCUCAUGACCUCACAAAGCUCUUCUAGGGCAGCAAGCUGAUGCUGAUUAAGAAGUCAUUCUAGGGCCAUCAGCUGAAGAGGAGGAAGAGAGGGUUGGCCGCUCACACCAAGCAAUCAGGACUGGCCUAAUGAGGCAACAGGGCCAACACACAUUUCCUGGACUUGCUAUCUCUGAACUCAUCACAAUGCAGAAAGUUUUGGACAAGCCACUUCCACACAAGGGACUGGAAUGAAGAUGCUGAGAAUCCAAUCCUCUGUGAGGAAACAAGCAGAUCACACAAGAACCACCACACCCUGCAUCCUGAUGCUUCUCACAUUAGCCAUCCUGGUGCCUCUGGGAAGCCCCCAAGCAGGGGGGAAGGGGCAGCAACCCUUCCCAGCAUCUGAUUCAGAGGGAAGCUGCCCCUGAAGAUGUCUGAAGGUUCCAUUCAGCCAUCAACAACCCUCCUCCUCCUCUGAACAUGCCAUCUAAGCCAGGGGCCAACACUACUGCUUGCAGUAAGCAAGCCCCAUGGAUUAAUCCUGCCUAUAGGAAGAAGCAUUUUCUUGUCUACUGGCAAUCAAAGUAAUCAGCCACCUGAGGUUCCAGUCUUAUGGUGGAAGGAAGUCUCCAUAUAAUCUCACCAUUUCCUAUACGCCAUGUGUAAUUUGAUAAACAUCUAUCUAGUCCC